GAUGAACGCUGGCGGCGUGCUUAACACAUGCAAGUCGAGCGAGUGAGUUCUUCGGAACGAUCUAGCGGCGGAAGGGUGAGUAACACGUGGGCAACCUGCCUCAUACAGGGGAAUAGCCUCCCGAAAGGGAGAUUAAAACCGCAUAACAUCGUUGAAGGGCAUCCUUCGAUGAUCAAAGGAGCAAUCCGCUAUGAAAUGGGCCCGCGGCGAAUUAGCUAGUUGGUGGGUGAACGGCUCACCAAGGCUACGAUGCGUAGCCGACGUGAGAGGGUGAUCGGCCACAUUGGGACUGAGACACGGCCCAGACUCCUACGGGAGGCAGCAGUGAGGAAUAUUGCACAAUGGGGGAAACCCUGAUGCAGCAACGCCGCGUGAGUGAUGACGGCCUUCGGGUUGUAAAGCUCUGUCUUUUGGGACGAUAAUGACGGUACCCAAGGAGGAAGUCACGGCUAACUACGUGCCAGCAGCCGCCGUAA
rnacentral:rRNA from 1 species